GCACACUUGGCGGAGGGGUCUAACGCUGGACUCAAGAUCCAGUAUCAAAAGAUGUGUGGGUUGGAACCCCAGAGUGUGCA